UGAACAUGAGAUUCCACUUAAUUGGUCCAUGUUUCUGAAGCCUGUGAUAUUAGCGGAGGUUCUGAUUCU
rnacentral:snoRNA from 1 species